CAUGAUGUGAUGUUAUUGACAUGAACGGGGACCAUAUAGAUCAUUGUUGCAACCGAAGUCCUGUAGCGGCACCAAAUCUUGUAUAAAGGGAGUCAAAUAAAGUGUCUAAGACAAGAUUAUGGUUUGCUGGUUAGGAUUAUGCUAUCUGAUUUGCAUGUAUCA